CUUUUAAAGGAAACGAGCCC
rnacentral:tRNA from 1 species